rnacentral:lncRNA from 1 species
AACGGUACUGCAACAAAAAUAAUAACAAAAGGUGUUACUCGUACAGAGAUUUUAAAUGAUUGAAUCUAAGGACAUCACAAUCAAAUGUUUUACCUUAAUGAAGCCAAUUUCCUUGGCAUUGCUGUGGAAGCAUUGCCUGCAGCACAUAAGGCCAUACUUCCUGAUCAAUCCAUGUGAAUUCCCGCACACACGACUACAGAGAGUAAGACAAAACAAGAUCACAAUCAACAAGACAAUUCAAAAUUAAAAAAACAACUCAUCUGCAAUACAAAAUCAAUUGUUCUACAGAAUUGUG